rnacentral:rRNA from 1 species
UACAGAGGGUGCGAGCGUUAAUCGGAAUUACUGGGCGUAAAGCGUGCGUAGACGGUUAUUUAAGUCGGGUGUGAAAGCCCCGGGCUCAACCUGGGAAUUGCAUUCGAGACUGAAUAGCUAGGGUACGGUAGAGGGAAGCGGAAUUUCCGGUGUAGCGGUGAAAUGCGUAGAUAUUGGGAGGAACACCAGUGGCGAAGGCGGCUACCUGGACCGGUUCUGACGCUGAUGCGCGAAAGCGUGGGUAGCAAACAGG